rnacentral:rRNA from 1 species
GGGUGCGAUCAUACCAGCACUAAUGCACCGGAUCCCAUCAGAACUCCGAGUUUAAACGUGCUUGGGCGAGAGUAGUACUUAGAUGGGUGACCUCUUGGGAAGUCCUCGUGUUGCACCCC